rnacentral:rRNA from 1 species
AACGAACGCUGGCGGCAGGCCUAACACAUGCAAGUCAAGGGGCCCUUCGGGGCACCGGCGCACGGGUGCGUAACGCGUGGGAAUAUACCUUUAGGUGCGGAAUAAUAUUUGGAAACGAAUACUAAUACCGCAUAAUGACUCCGGUCCAAAGAUUUAUCGCCUAGGGAUUAGCCCGCGUCUGAUUAGUUUGUUGGUGAGGUAACGGCUCACCAAGACGAUGAUCAGUAGCUGGUCUGAGAGGACGACCAGCCACACUGGAACUGAGACACGGUCCAG